rnacentral:lncRNA from 1 species
CACACAUGGAUUUCUGUUACUGUGUUUGUGAUUUCAGUUCUUUGUAGUAGUACUAGUAAACAUACUGUGUGGUUGAUGUACCAUGUGUGCCCAUGUGUGAUGAACCAUGUAUGCCCAUGUGUGAUGUACCAUGUGUGCCCACGUGUGAUGAACCAUGUGUGCCCAUGUCUGCCCAUGUGUGAUGUACCAUGUGUGCCCAUGUGUGAUGAACCAUGUGUGAUGAACCAUGUGUGCCCAUGUCUGAUGAACCAUGUGUGCCCAUGUCUGAUGAACCAUGUGUGCCCAUGUCUGAUGAACCAUGUGUGCCCAUGUCUGAUGAACCAUGUGUGCCCAUGUGUGCCCAUGUGUGCCCAUGUCUGAUGAACCAUGUGUGCCCAUGUGUGCCCAUGUCUGAUGAACCAUGUGUGCCCAUGUGUGCCCAUGUGUGCCCAUGUGUGCCCACGUGUGAUGAACCAUGUGUGCCCACGUGUGAUGAACCAUGUAUGCCCAUGUGUGCCCAUGUGUGCCCAUGUGUGCCCAUGUGUGCCCAUGUCUGAUGAACCAUGUGUGCCCAUGUGUGAUGAACCAUGUGUGCCCAUGUGUGCCCAUGUGUGCCCAUGUGUGCCCAUGUGUGCCCAUGUGUGCCCGUGUCUGAUGAACCAUGUGUGCCCAUGUCCUCUCCACAUGUGCUGUCCUGGUCAGACUGAGGAAGAUCAGCGUUCAGAAGAUGCCAAACCCCGGACUGAGCUCCGUGGGGAAGUGGGCCCAGGAGAAGUCCAAAACGUCUUUCAUUCUCUGGGGAAUCAGUGAUCCUGGAGAUCAGACCAUGGUGUCCAUCGUGGAGAUCUCACCUGGCCCUUUUGACUCCGGAGAAACACACCUGUCCGACCUCCCGGCGUGCACUGACUGGACAGGUGACUACGAGAGGGUCACACCCACUUUCAGCAGCAGGGCAACCAACUCAUGGAAUCCUACCGCCACUCCCACCAAUGGAGACCAGACCCAUGAUGAACUCAAGGACGAGUCUGUGUCAGUGUUAGGAAGCCUUUCUAAUGAGCCCUGUCUGGAACAGGAUCCAGCUUAUAUCUCUGUGGAGACGGGCCAGAUGUUGGCCUGUACUGCAGGGAGCCACGGUUCCUCAUUUAAGAACAAAACUGCGGAACUGGAACCUGGGGAGCAAAGCGCUUUGAUCUCUGUUCUGAGCUACAUCUCAGUGGACCAGUGCAGACCCAGUAGGAUGGACUUGUGA